CUGUCACCCACACUGCCUACAGCGACAGGAGCAGAACCCGCCAUCCCGCAGCAACCUCUUUCAUGUUUAAGUGCAGACCACAGAGUGAGCGGAAGUCCAGAGAUUGGAAGAGAAACUGAGACUGGGAAUUAUUAUAACGCAUAUAAAGCAGCUUUCGCCGAGGGAAACGACCCUUGGAAGAUCACGGAGAGAAUCAGAGAGAGCCGUAGAGGGAGGAGGGCAAGUGGAGACAAGUUGCAGUCACAGUCGCCAAGGUAGAAGAGACAUCAUGACGUCCCCGCGAUCAGUAUGUUAUGUGAUACGGACCAAAUUGAUGUGGAGGAGCACAAAACCGCCGGACUAGGUUACUACGUGUCUUCCCCGGCUGGCGUCGCAUGAUAUGCCUAGUCGUCAGGCGCAUCCGAGGGAAUUAUAUCUGCCAGAGUCACAGUUUUUAUUCUCCACAUUGAUUGCUUACACAACAGGUAGCAUUUAUGAACAAAAGCACAAAAAAUCUUCUGUCAAUAUGAGAAUCUUGCUAAUCAGAUUUUUAGGACUAGGUCUCUUCACAGCAAGAAUACCCUCACAGAAUCUCUCAUUAAAUUAGAAAUUACUAACCAAAUAAAAUAUUUACUACAUGGGUGGGGCUUCAGUGAUAUUGACUGAAGAAGAAAGAAUUUAUAGAGGUUCGUAAAACGCAGUUGUCCAUAUGUAAAGGUAGAAUGUGGACAGAAAAGCCCCACCCAAAGAAAAGCUAGUCAAAACAAUAAUGGCUUACUUGACGCCUACUUCACCUUAUACACCUGUUAUUUUGCCUCUCUGUCAUCAUUUUCCCUAGACCUCUACAAUUUCCUCCAGUCUUGGGAAGGGAUUUAACCACACUAUCAUAUCUAUUUUA